rnacentral:rRNA from 1 species
GAUGAACGCUAGCUACAGGCUUAACACAUGCAGGUCGAGGGGAAACGGCAUUAAGUGCUUGCACUUUUUGGACGUCGACCGGCGCACGGGUGAGUAACGCGUAUCCAACCUUCCCAUGACUAAGGGAUAACCUGCCGAAAGGCAGACUAAUACCUUAUGGUCUUCACUGACGGCAUCAGAUGUGAAGUAAAGAUUUAUCGGUUAUGGAUGGGGAUGCGCCUGAUUAGCUUGUUGGCGGGGUAACGGCCCACCAAGGCAACGAUCAGUAGGGGUUCUGAGAGGAAGGUCCCCCACAUUGGAACUGCGACACAGUCCAAACUCCUACGGGAGGCAGCAGUGAGGAAUAUUGGUCACUGGGCGAGAGCCUGAACCAGCCAAGUAGGGUGCAGGAUGCCGGCCCUCUGGGUUGUAAACUGCUUUUGUAUGGGGAUAAAGUCAAUCACGUGUGAUUGUUUGCAGGUACCAUACGAAUAAGGACCGGCUAAUUCCGUG